CGAAUCGAUCGGAGAAGAAGAGCAAUCUCGGAAUCCCGCGAAAACUUGAUCGGCGUAUUGGUCACGGGGACUACAAUGGCGAAGAUUGAACCCAUUGAUGAGGACGAGUCAGAGGACAAGAAGAAGACGAAGAUGAAAAACCGAAACCAUGGAUCCACGAACUUCUUCGUGUUCGUUGAUUAUCUUUUCCUCUUUAUAUUUUUCUGCUUUCUUUGUUAUAUCAUCUUCAAGGUAUUGGGUGUUUGAACGAACCUUCAUCGAUUUGGUUUUUGGUCAUGGUGAUCGUUUUUUCCAAUUCGCUAUGGAUAGACAGAAACUUCAAUUCCAAUAGACUUUUCCAAGACAUCUCUUUGUCCAUUAUCAUCGCAUUGUUUUAGAAGUUUCCAAAUUUGAUUUGUUAAUACAUCGUAGUUGUCGUUGGUUUUGUUAAUGCUAAAUGCUAAUGCUGAGAUUACUUUGAAACUUUGAGAUUUUACAUAUCUUGACAAAAUUUCAGACUUUGUAAAGAGAGUUUCUCUUUUGACUCAAUCAUGGCAAUAAUGAUUCAAUUGAAGAGUUUCUACAUAUUUCUACUCUUUUGUGACUCAAUACAUUUGCAGCAAUGUGAGUCAUUACAUUUUAUUUGGAAAUAUUAUUUUUAGAUAGUAUGUAAGCAAAAGCUCUGGAAUUUAUUCAAUAUCCUCUUAAGUAUAUAUAGAGAGAGAUCAUGAAGAUAUAUGACUAUGAUGAAAUGACUAGUAUACUUGUUAUGUGAACCAGAAUUGAAUACCCUUCUGCAUCUAGCAAAAGCUUAUUUGUUGACAGGUCAUGGUUGUGGCACUGGUGGAACUUCAUCUUCUCCUGAACUCGGACUGCGGGCUUUAUUACUAGGAGUUCCAUUUGAAGUGGCUGGGGCAACAGCAAGGGGAUCUUUGUAAGGAAGGAAUGGCAGCUUAGGUGUGGGAGGUAGCAAGAACCUUCCAAAACCAGGAAUGAGACUAGAUGGUUGAGGCACCAUGUUUACAGGAAAGUCUGAAUGUUUGCUCUCACUGGGAGUGGGGGAAAUGGGAAUGUAACGCAUUCCGGUUACUUCCUCUGUACAUCCAAGAAUCAGGCUUACCAGAACAAUUGUGGCUGUCAGAUUUUGCAGAGUAUAAGCCAUUGUUGUGUUAGUUGAGGAUAAAAGGUUUAUUUGGCUUCACAUACAAGUAACAGAAAAACCGAUGAAGAAGAAGUCAGCGAGAGACGACGGCUUCCACUUUGAAAGAGUUUGAUUUCUUUUACUUUCUCUUUAUUCUUUACGAAGUUGGUAAAACAUAUUUGACCAUUUCUUGAGUUUUCUUCUCCGAUCAAUCUUUUGAUAAUGUUUUAAUAAUUACAUUUACGUGACUAGCGGCAUAUUCUACAGUUGUCUGAUAGAAAUUUGUAAGAAAUCCAUAAAAGUCAAAGAGUGUUUCCGUACUUUUAUUAUCCCCAUGUCGUCGUACUAUUUGAAUGUGUCAAACUUCUAUAGUAGAUAUUUAGUUUAACUUGGAUUACAACAUUGCCG
rnacentral:lncRNA from 1 species